UAAGGAAUAUUGGUCAAUGGACGCAAGUCUGAACCAGCCAUGCCGCGUGAAGGAUGAAGGUCCUCUGGAUUGUAAACUUCUUUUAUCUGGGACGAAAACGGGAUUUUUAUCUCAAUUGACGGUACCAGAGGAAUAAGCACCGGCUAACUCCGUGCCAGCAGCCGCGGUAAUACGUAGGUGGCAAGCGUUGUCCGGAUUUACUGGGCGUAAAGGGAGCGUAGGCGGACUUUUAAGUGAGAUGUGAAAUACCCGGGCUCAACCUGGGUGCUGCAUUUCAAACUGGAAGUCUAGAGUGCAGGAGAGGAGAGUGGAAUUCCUAGUGUAGCGGUGAAAUGCGUAGAGAUUAGGAAGAACACCAGUGGCGAAGGCGACUCUCUGGACUGUAACUGACGCUGAGGCUCGAAAGCGUGGGGAGCAAACA
rnacentral:rRNA from 1 species